rnacentral:rRNA from 1 species
GAUGAACGCUAGCGGCAGGCCUAAUACAUGCAAGUCGGACGGGAUCCAAUUUUAAGCUUGCUUAGAAUUGGUGAGAGUGGCGCACGGGUGCGUAACGCGUGAGCAACCUACCCAUAUCAGGGGGAUAGCCCGAAGAAAUUCGGAUUAAGACCGCAUAAUACUAUAAUUUGGCAUCGAAUUAUAGUUAAAUAUUUAUAGGAUAUGGAUGGGCUCGCGUGACAUUAGCUAGUUGGUAAGGUAACGGCUUACCAAGGCGACGAUGUCUAGGGGCUCUGAGAGGAGAAUCCCCCACACUGGUACUGAGACACGGACCAGACUCCUACGGGAGGCAGCAGUAAGGAAUAUUGGUCAAUGGAGGGAACUCUGAACCAGCCAUGCCGCGUGCAGGAUGACUGCCCUAUGGGUUGUAAACUGCUUUUGUCUGGGAAUAAACCUAUCUACGUGUAGAUAGCUGAAUGUACCAGAAGAAUAAGGAUCGGCUAACUCCGUGCCAGCCGCCGCCGUAA